CCUACGGGUGGCAGCAGUGAGGAAUAUUGGUCAAUGGACGCAAGUCUGAACCAGCCAAGCCGCGUGCAGGAUGACUGCCCUAUGGGUUGUAAACUGCUUUUAUAAGGGAAUAAACCGAGGCACGCGUGCCUUUUUGCAAGUAUUUUAUGAAUAAGGAUCGGCUAACUCCGUGCCAGCAGCCGCGGUAAUACGGAGGAUUCGAGCGUUAUCCGGAUUUAUUGGGUUUAAAGGGUGCGUAGGCGGGCUGUUAAGUCAGCUGUGAAAGUUUGGGGCUCAACCGUGGAAUUGCCUUUGAUACUGGCAGGCUAGAGAACAGUUGAGGUAGGCGGAAUGCGUGGUGUAGCGGUGAAAUGCAUAGAUAUCACGAAGAACCCCGAUUGCGAAGGCAGCUUAC
rnacentral:rRNA from 1 species